AACAAAUUCAAACAACUACAAACUUCUCUAAUGAAGACUAAUUUCAAAAUAGAACAAACUUGAAAAGAUCUUUUUGUUUUUCGUACCUCAUAGUUUCUUGUUCACCACGGGGAGAUGAUUGUUGAAAAUCCUCCAAGAAGCCAUUGCCAUGGGGGAGGAGAAGAGCCGUUAAAGGUGGAAGCUUUCUUUGCUUGAAGAAAAGUCAAGGGUUUCGAGUGAGAAGUCUUGGAGGGAGGCUUUUAGGGUUCUGUUAGAAUUUUGCCGAGAUAAGGAAAGGGUGAAGAUGAGAGCAGUAGAGCAAGUGAGCGACCGUGGGAUAAUGAGA
rnacentral:lncRNA from 1 species